ensembl:lncRNA
AUGCGGGGGGCGGGGCCAGCGCGGGGGGCGGGGCUUGCGGCGCAGUGGGCGGGGCUUACAGAAAGGGGCGUGGUUUGGGCACAGAAGGGGCGUGGCCUGAGCGGUGGGCGGGGCUUAGGAGGGUGGGACAGAAAGGGGCGGGGCUUGGGAAAGGGGGCGGGGCCUGGGGGGGCUCCCGAUGAUCCCAGCCCCCCCCACCGGCCCGGGACAAACUGGGACAAACUGGGACAGACUGGGAUGAACUGGGACAGAGAAAUUGGGCCAAACUGGUCCAAACUGGUCCAGACUGGUCCAGGGAAAUUGGGCCAAACUGGUCCAGACUGGUACAGGAAACGGGGAGUUACUGGUCCAAACUGGUCCAUGGAAAUUGGGCCCAACUGGUCCAAACUGGGACAAACUGGUCCAAAUUGGUCCAGGAAAUUGGGGGAUACUGGUCCAAACUGGGGCAAACUGGUCCAGGGAAAUUGGGCCAAACUGGUCCAAACUGGUCCAGGAAACUGGGAAUUACUGGGCCAAACUGGUCCAGACUGGUGCAGGAAACUGGGGGAAACUGGGCCAAACUGGUCCAAACUGGGACAAACUGGUGCAGGAAAUUGGGAGUUACUGGUCCAAACUGGUCCAGGAAACUGGGAGAGAUUGGGCCAAACUGGUCCAAACUGGUCCAAACUGGUCCAUGGAAAUUGGGCCAAACUGGGCCAAACUGGUGCAGGAAAGCUGGAGUUACUGGGCCAGACUGGUCCAUGGAAAUUGGGCCAAACUGGUCCAAAUUGGUCCAUGGAAAUUGGGCCAAACUGGUCCAAACUGGGACAAACUGGUCCAGGAAACUGGGAAUUACUGGGCCAAACUGAUCCAAGCUGGUCCAAACUGGUCCAGGAAACUGGGGGAGACUGGUCCCGUAUCAGGGAGGGAACUGGUCUGGACUGGGCCAAACUGAUCCAAACUGGUCCAGGGAAAUUGGAUCAAACUGGUCCAAACUGGUCCAGACUGGUGCAGGAAACUGGGGGAUACUGGGCCAAACUGGUCCAAACUGGUCCAGGGAAAUUGGGCCAAACUGGUCCAAACUGGUCCAGACUGGUCCAGACUGGUCCAAACUGGUCCAAACUGGUCCAAACUGGUCCGUACUGGUGGGACACCCCGGGGGUCCCAUCCCCCCCUUUAAGGCACUGGGACCCCCCGGGGGGUUGGGGGGGAGGGGCAAAAUGGGGCAAAAAAAGGAGAAAAAGGGAAAAAGGAAAAAUGGGGAAAAAAUUGUUCAAAAAAAGGACAAAAAAAGACAAAAAAGGGCAAAAAAUGACAAAAAAAGGACAAAAAAGGACAAAAAUUACAAAAAAGUCAAAAAAUGACAAAAAAAGACAAAAAAAGGACAAAAAAAGGACAAAAAAGGACAAAAAAGUCAAAAAAGGACAAAAAAGGCAAAAAAAGACAAAAAAGGACAAAAAAAUGGCAAAAAGGACAAAAAAGGACAAAAAAGGACAAAAAAUAACCAAAAAAGGAAAAAAAAGGACAAAAAAGGACAAAAAGGGACAAAAAAGGACAAAAAAGGACAAAAAGGAACAAAAAAAGGACAAAAAAAGGACAAAAAAGUUAAAAAAUGACAAAAAAAGUCAAAAAAGGACAAAAAAAAAGACAAAAAAGGACAAAAAAGGGACCAAAAAAAGGGACAAAAAAAAGGGACAAAAAAGGGCAAAAAAAGACAAAAAAUGA